CAGUCGCCGCGGUAAUACGAGGGGGGCAAGCGUUGUUCGGAAUUACUGGGCGUAAAGCGUGCGCAGGCGGUUUGUUAAGACAGAUGUGAAAUCCCCGGGCUUAACCUGGGAACUGCAUUUGUGACUGGCAAGCUAGAGUAUGGCAGAGGGGGGUGGAAUUCCGCGUGUAGCAGUGAAAUGCGUAGAUAUGCGGAGGAACACCGAUGGCGAAGGCAGCCCCCUGGGCCAAUACUGACGCUCAUGCACGAAAGCGUGGGGAGCAAACAGGAUUAGAUACCCCCGUAGUCCCUGUCUCUUAUAC
rnacentral:rRNA from 1 species